CAAUAGCAUAUAUUAACGUUGUUGCAGUUGAAAAGCUCGUAGUUGAACUUUUGGUAGGAGCGACCUGGCCUUGGGCGCAUGCCCUUGUUUGCCGUGUGUCGUAUCUGGCCAUCCUUUUCCGCUUCGGCGGGAAUCCUUUACUGUGAGUAAACUGGAGUGCUCAAAACAAGACGUUUGUUUGGUACAUUAAAGCAUGGAAUAAUAAGAGAGGACCUGGUUACUAUUUUGUUGGUUUGCAUAGCUAGGUAAUGAUUAACAGGGACAGUUGGGGGUAUUCGUAUUUAAUUGUCAGAGGUGAAAUUCUUGGAUUUAUGAAAGACGAACGACUGCGAAAGCAUUUACCAAGGAUGUUUUCAUUAA
rnacentral:rRNA from 1 species